rnacentral:rRNA from 1 species
AGUGAACGCUGGCGGUAGGCCUAACACAUGCAAGUCGAACGGCAGCACAGUAAGAGCUUGCUCUUACGGGUGGCGAGUGGCGGACGGGUGAGGAAUACAUCGGAAUCUACUUUUUCGUGGGGGAUAACGUAGGGAAACUUACGCUAAUACCGCAUACGACCUACGGGUGAAAGCAGGGGAUCUUCGGACCUUGCGCGAUUGAAUGAGCCGAUGUCGGAUUAGCUAGUUGGCGGGGUAACGGCCCACCAAUGCGACGAUCCGUAGCUGGUCUGAGAGGAUGGACCGCACCACUGGAACUGAGACACGACCCGGACACCUAGGGAAGGCCGCAGUGGGGAAUAUAGGCCAAUGGGCGCAAGCCUGAUCAAGCCAUACAGGGUGGGUGAAGAAGGCCUUCGGGUUGUAAAGCCUUUUUGUGGGGAAAAAAAAGCAGCAGGUUAAAACCCCGCUGUUCUGAGGUUACCCAAAGAAUAGGAACCGGCUAACUUGGU